rnacentral:rRNA from 1 species
UGCAAGUCGAGCGCGCCUUCGGGCGAGCGGCGGACGGGUUAGUAACGCGUGGGAACGUGCCCAGAUCUACGGAAUAGCCACUGGAAACGGUGAGUAAUACCGUAUACGCCCUUAGGGGGAAAGAUUUAUCGGAUUUGGAUCGGCCCGCGUUAGAUUAGGUAGUUGGUGGGGUAACGGCCUACCAAGCCUACGAUCUAUAGCUGGUUUUAGAGGAUGAUCAGCAACACUGGGACUGAGACACGGCCCAGACUCCUACGGGAGGCAGCAGUGGGGAAUCUUGGACAAUGGGGGAAACCCUGAUCCAGCCAUGCCGCGUGAGUGAAGAAGGCCCUAGGGUCGUAAAACUCUUUCGCCUGUGAUGAUAAUGACAGUAGCAGGUAAAGAAACCCCGGCUAACUCCGUGCCAGCAGCCGCGGUAAUACGGAGGGGGUUAGCGUUGUUCGGAAUUACUGGGCGUAAAGCGCACGUAGGCGGAUUAGAAAGUUAGAGGUGAAAUCCCGGGGCUCAACCCCGGAACUGCCUUUAAAACUACUAGUCUAGAGUUCGAGAGAGGUGAGUGGAAUUCCGAGUGUAGAGGUGAAAUUCGUAGAUAUUCGGAGGAACACCAGUGGCGAAGGCGGCUCACUGGCUCGAUACUGACGCUGAGGUGCGAAAGUGUGGGGAGCAAACAGGAUUAGAUACCCAGGUAGUCCACACCGUAAACGAUGAAUGCCAGUCGUCGGGUAGUAUACUAUUCGGUGACACACCUAACGGAUUAAGCAUUCCGCCUGGGGAGUACGGUCGCAGAUUAAAACUCAAGGAAUUGACGGGGGCCCGCACAGCGG